rnacentral:tRNA from 1 species
GCAGUGGUGGUUCAGUGAUAGAAUUCUUGCCUUCCAUGUGAGAGACCUGAUUUUGAUUCCCAGUCAAUGCA